CAUUAAAACAACGGUUCCCAUAAUAUCACCGAAGUUAAGCAACAUCGAACUUGGGCAGUACCUAUAUGGGUGACCGCUUGGGAAUACCAGGUGCUGUAA